UUGAACGCUGGCGGCAUGCCUUACACAUGCAAGUCGAACGGUAACAGGGAGCUUGCUCCGCUGACGAGUGGCGAACGGGUGAGUAAUGUAUCGGAACGUACCAUUCAGUGGGGGAUAACGUAGCGAAAGUUACGCUAAUACCGCAUAUUCUGUGAGCAGGAAAGCAGGGGAUCGCAAGACCUUGCGCUGAUUGAGCGGCCGAUAUCAGAUUAGCUAGUUGGUGAGGUAAAAGCUCACCAAGGCGACGAUCUGUAGCGGGUCUGAGAGGAUGAUCCGCCACACUGGAACUGAGACACGGUCCAGACUCCUACGGGAGGCAGCAGUGGGGAAUUUUGGACAAUGGGCGCAAGCCUGAUCCAGCAAUGCCGCGUGCAGGAAGAAGGCCUUCGGGUUGUAAACUGCUUUUGUACGGAACGAAAAGGUCUGGGUUAAUACCCUGGGCCCAUGACGGUACCGUAAGGAUAAGCACCGGCUAACUACGU
rnacentral:rRNA from 1 species